UACGUAGGGUGCGAGCGUUAAUCGGAAUUACUGGGCGUAAAGUGUGCGCAGGUGGCCGCGCAAGUCGAGUGUGAAAUCCCCGAGCUUAACUUGGGAACUGCCAUUGAUACUAUCAGUCUUGAAUACCGUGGAGGUCGGCGGAAUAUGUCAUGUAGCGGUGAAAUGCUUAGAUAUGACAUAGAACACCAAUUGCGAAGGCAGCUGACUACGCGAGUAUUGACACUGAGGCACGAAAGCGUGGGGAUCAAACAGG
rnacentral:rRNA from 1 species